rnacentral:rRNA from 1 species
CAUUGGACUGAAUCCGGCAAUUCUACGGAGGCCACCGAUGAUCUCGCAGUGGAACGAAGUCGACGAGCAUCGCCCGACGUGAGGUGAGAAGGUGUCGAUCGUAAACCUCGUUGCUCAGAGACCGAACAUUGCGUAGAGUGCAAAUACACAAGUGAACGUAUCUAGCAGAAAGGGACGCUAGCUACGUGCCAGCAGCCGCGGUAAUACGUAGGUCCGAGCGUGUCCGGAUUUAUUGGGCGUAAAGCGAGCGCAGGUUGUUAAUAAGUCUGAUGUAAAAGGCAGUGGCUCAACCAUUGUGUGCAUUGGAAACUGUUAGACUUGAGUGCAGUAGAGGAGAGUGGAAUUCCAUGUGUAGCGGUGAAAUGCGUAGAUAUAUGGAGGAACACCGGUGGCGAAAGCGGCUCUCUGGACUGUAACUGACACUGAGGCUCGAAAGCGUGGGUAGCAAACAGGAUUAGAUACCCUGGUAGUCCACGCCGUAAACGAUGAGUGCUAGUUGUUUGGGGCUAUCCAGCCCUAAGUGACGCAGCAAACGCAUUAAGCACUCCGCCUGGGGAGUACGACCGCAAGGUUGAAACUCAAAGGAAUUGACGGGGGCCCGCACAAGCGGUGGAGCAUGUGGUUUAAUUCGAAGCAACGCGAAGAACCUUACCAGGUCUUGACAUACCAGUGCUAUUCUUAGAGAUAAGAAGUUACUUCGGUACACUGGAUACAGGUGGUGCAUGGUUGUCGUCAGCUCGUGUCGUGAGAUGAUGGGUUAAGUCCCGCAACGAGCGCAACCCCUAUUGUUAGUUGCCAUCAUUAAGUUGGGCACUCUAGCGAGACUGCCGGUAAUAAACCGGAGGAAGGUGGGGAUGACGUCAAAUCAUCAUGCCCCUUAUGACCUGGGCUACACACGUGCUACAAUGGUUGGUACAACGAGUCGCAAGCUAGUGAUAGCAAGCUAAUCUCUUAAAGCCAAUCUCAGUUCGGAUUGUAGGCUGCAACUCGCCUACAUGAAGUCGGAAUCGCUAGUAAUCGCGGAUCAGCACGCCGCGGUGAAUACGUUCCCGGGCCUUGUACACACCGCCCGUCACACCACGAGAGUUUGUAAUACCCAAAGCCGGUGAGCUAACCUUUUAGGAGGCAGCCGUCUAAGGUAGGAUAGAUGAUUGGGGUGAAGUCGUAACAAGGUAGCC